UUUCUGCUGGUUUUGUUGCAGGAAGCAUUGCUGCUGCUGCAACAUGUCCCCUUGAUGUUGCUAAGACUAGAAGACAGAUUGAGAUGGACCCUGCCAGGGCGUUGACAAUGACGACAAGGCAAACUCUACUUGAGAUUUGGAGGGAUGGAGGGCUCAAGGGACUGUUUACUGGAGUAGGUCCUCGUGUUGGUCGUGCUGGCCCUUCAGUUGGAAUUGUGGUUUCGUUCUAUGAAGUUGUCAAAUAUAUGUUACACCAACAAUAUGCUUCUUCAUAGGGAGCAUAGUCAGGUUAAUUAGGUAUCUUCUUUCCAACAUCUUGGAUCGGGCACUGGUUGCUGAAAUAGCGCCAUGAUUCUGACGCUCAGCUCUAAUGUGGAUAUGGUAGCACACUAAGGAGCAGUUUUGACCAUGGUAGAUUUACCUACACAGAUUAGCUUGUAGAAAAUAAUCCCUCUCUUCUUUGCUUUCCAGCCAAUAUUGGUUGUUUUUUCGGCAUAAUUGUCUUUGGACUAAGAAGAGAUUUUGAUAUACUUUGGUUGCAUCAAAUAGCAGUUUUUCCUGAGAUGUUCCUCACUUCUCAUAAAAAUGUUCAAGUUCUUCAUGUCUUUUAUUAUUUGUCUGGUGAUAUCAAAGCUAAAAAUAUUGAUGCGG
rnacentral:misc_RNA from 1 species